rnacentral:rRNA from 1 species
UACAGAGGGUGCGAGCGUUAAUCGGAAUUACUGGGCGUAAAGCGCGCGUAGGCGGCUUUGCAAGUCGGGUGUGAAAUCCCCAGGCUUAACCUGGGAACUGCAUUCGAGACUGCAUUGCUAGAGUAUGGGAGAGGGAAGUGGAAUUUCCGGUGUAGCGGUGAAAUUCGUAGAUAUCGAGAGGAACACCGGUGGCGAAGGCGGCGAUCUGGACGAUGACUGACGCUGAGACGCGAAAGCGUGGGGAGCAAACAGG